GACGAACGCUGGCGGCGUGCUUAACACAUGCAAGUCGAACGGAGUGGCGAACGGGUGAGUAACACGUGGGUGAUCUGCCUUGCACUUCGGGGUAAGCUUGGGAAACUGGGUCUAAUACCGGCUAUUGCAUGAUGAGCUCGCGGCCUAUCAGCUUGUUGGUGGGGUAAUGGCCGACCCAGGCGUCGACGGGUAGCCGGCCUGAGAGGGUGUACGGCCACAUUGGGACUGAGAGACGGACCAGACUGAUACGGGAGGCAGGAGGGGGGAAUAUGGCACAAUGGGCGGAAGACUGAUGCAGCGACGCAGCGUGGGGGAUGAAGGCCUUCGGGUGGUAAACUCCUUUCGACAGGGACGCGGUACCUGGAUAAGAAGCACCGGCUAACUACGUGCCAGCCGCCGCGGUAAUAC
rnacentral:rRNA from 1 species